AUGUUUCCUGGGGGCUGGAGGGAUAAACACCAUGAUUAGGAUACCUACCCUGAGCCAUGGCACUCCUGAUUGCUACCCUGUGAUUUCCUCCAAUGUGGGAAACUUGAAUACAUAAUUUGUGAUAGUGGGGGACUGUGUUUGCAGAUUCCCUCA
rnacentral:snRNA from 1 species